CCCAACUUCCGUGGUUGGGUAGACUCACUUUUGAAGAUUGCUUCUAGGGAGCAGAGAACUUGGAAAUCAAUUUCUUCCUUACAUGGCUGGAAGGUCAAAACACAUGGAUUUGGCAUUAGAGGAAUGACGGCUGAAGUAGCUAUGGCCAUUCGCAUGUCUGCGAAUGCUGCUCUUGAUUUGGAUAAGGCUCGAGCCUUGCUGCC